AUGGCGCCUCUCUUCUUAGACCUUCUUACUUUCCAAGCUUACGGAAAACUAGCUGUUACACACAGGGAGGUCCUGGAACUCGCUUUUCCACGUCUUCAGAUUCGAUGCGGCCCCGGUUUCGGGAUUGCUGGCCAGGGAGUAGGUGGCACCCACGACCGCUCCGACCCCGACCCAGUCCCUGGCAAUCGGCGGCGGCUCGCUCGUGGAGAGCCACCGGAUCCUUCGAGGGCUCGCGACGCGGUGCACAUGCCCGCGCCCGCCUCCCGCGUCGGCGAGAAGAAAGGGAGUCCGGACGCGCAGAGGCUGACCCGGAGCCUACCCAUGAGGCAGCGCGCUGGCUCCACGAGAGCCCCCCCCUGCCCACGGCUCGGCCGCCUGCUCCGCAAUGGGAGCCGCCGCCGUCGCCGCCGUGUAGUUUUUCGUGCUCCUCCUUUUCCUCCUCCUCUUUCUCCUCCUCCUCAGGGCCCCAGUCAGGCCGAUCCGCUCCGCUCACGGUUUUCCACUUCUUUGCAUUCCUUCGCUAAUGGAGUAAGGGUUCUACAAGGCCUUCCCUUUACCAUGUAUCUAUUAACAUCCUAUGAAGCUGGAUUUCCCUCACUUCAACAGAACAAGGUAGUAUAACAGAUUGAAUACAGAAGCAGAUAAGGGAAUCCAGCUGUCUCUGAACACAGGUAUUAAAAUUAAUAAGAUUUGCAAAAAUGGAAAACAGUGCCAUCCUCUAAAUUUUUGUUUUGGAAAAAACAGCUAUUUUUCAUAAAAGUAUUUGUGUUAAUAUGCAUUGUGUUUGUUACAGUCACUUUUAAGUAAAUUAAUAUAUAUUUCUUAAAUUUCUCAGGUUGAGUUUAUAGGUUUCAUCCUUAGAAAAUCAGCUGCACUGUUGGGUUUUAUUUUGGCCAGAUUUCUUCAGCAUGAUGUGAAUGUCUUUGUAUUGAGGGAUUUUAACCAAUGCAAAUAUCAUUAGUCUAUGACAUAAUUUGCUCCUUGUUUCUAAGGCUUUAUCCUGUAUUCCUUAUUUUGUAGGUAUUUGUUCUUAACCUUUGGCAAGUUUGAGAAGCAAAACCUGGAGGGUUUGGUAGCAGUCUGGGAAUUUUAGAUAUAUCCUAAUCCCUAUCUCUUUUGUUUACUC
rnacentral:lncRNA from 1 species